rnacentral:lncRNA from 1 species
GGAUUUAGUAGAGUUUCUCUCUCUUCCUCAGGUCUUAAACAUUCCUCAGGGUGGUCUUCUGUAAGCUUCCGCAACCCCACUUGUCAAUGUUUAUCAUGAUUAGGUGCACAAUACAAUUUGAGCUGAUGAAGCACAAGGAAAGAUUUCCUGAAAGCAUUUCCUUCAUCUCCUGGGCUACCUUCCAGAAAGGAGGUCGCUCAUAUUCUGGACAUGGAGACUGUAUCUCAGAACUCUGCCUCUUUUUCCUUUGGACUGAGGAUGAAAUCAAUGCACAGG